rnacentral:rRNA from 1 species
AGCGAACGCUGGCGGCGUGCCUAACACAUGCAAGUCGAACGUGAAAAGGGAAACCUGAGUAAAGUGGCGUACGGGUGAGUAACGCGUAGGUAAUCUACCCCAGAAUCUGGAAUAACCUGCCGAAAGGCGGGCUAAUACUGGAUAGAGCGAGGGAACUCGUAAGAGAGUUUUUCGGGAAAGGGAGCCCGCAAGGGCCUUCGUUCUGGGAUGAGCCUGCGUCUCAUUAGCUAGUUGGUAAGGUAACGGCUUACCAAGGCGAUGAUGAGUAGCUGGUCUGAGAGGAUGAUCAGCCACACUGGAACUGAAACACGGUCCAGACUCCUACGGGAGGCAGCAGUGGGGAAUCUUGCGCAAUGGACGAAAGUCUGACGCAGCCACGCCGCGUGAGUGAAGAAGGCCUUCGGGUUGUAAAGCCCUGUCGGAUGGGACGAACAUCUUCAUAGUGAAUAGCUAUGAGGACUGACGGUACCAUCAAAGGAAGCACCGGCUAACUCCGUG